AGUGAACGCUGGCGGUAGGCCUAACACAUGCAAGUCGAACGGCAGCACAGUAAGAGCUUGCUCUUACGGGUGGCGAGUGGCGGACGGGUGAGGAAUACAUCGGAAUCUACUUUUUCGUGGGGGAUAACGUAGGGAAACUUACGCUAAUACCGCAUACGACCUACGGGUGAAAGCAGGGGAUCUUCUGACCUUGUGCGAUUGAAUGAGCCGAUGUCGGAUUAGCUAGUUGGCGGGGUAAAGGCCCACCAAGGCGACGAUCCGUAGCUGGUCUGAGAGGAGGAUCAGCCACACUGGAACUGAGACACGGUCCAGACUCCUACGGGAGGCAGCAGUGGGGAAUAUUGGACAAUGGGCGCAAGCCUGAUCCAGCCAUACCGCGUGGGUGAAGAAGGCCUUCGGGUUGUAAAGCCCUUUUGUUGGGAAAGAAAAGCAGCAGGUUAAUACCCCGCUGUUCUGACGGUACCCAAAGAAUAAGCACCGGCUAACUUCGUG
rnacentral:rRNA from 1 species